rnacentral:lncRNA from 1 species
UUAAUUUGGGAAAGACUAGUUUUUCCCCACCAUGGGAAAGUUAGUUUUUAACCAUUAGAUUAAAUAGGGUACACAAUUUUAUCAUGGUCUCUCAACAUCAAAUUUUUCCCACAUCAUCUUCCACCACCAAAACACUUUGUCUUCUUCAACUUUGAUCUUGGUUUUGCUAUGGCAGAAAUUUAUGUUUGUCUCAGCAAAAUUGCUCAAACUUGCAUUGAUGGCUACAAUUUCUUCUCCAGAAUUGCUCAAAUUGAAGCAAUUGAAGCACAUGCAUUGAUGGCUCCACGUUUUUCUUGUAAUGUUGCUGUUAAUUAUUCUGCAACCAUUAUCCUCCAAUUUGUUGGUUUUGAUUUUGAUUUUAACUACUGGAAUUAGUUUGUUGAAAUUGAAUUCAAUUCUUCAUGCCAAUACAACAAUUGAAUAACUUUGUUAUAUAUAAUGAGGUGUAUA